rnacentral:lncRNA from 1 species
GUCAUUCCACCGGUCAUUCUCAGUUUCUCCUCUGCUUAAGAUUGAAGGUACACUGCCUUGGGAAACUCAGAAGGAACCGACAGGGUGGGUCGGGGUCUCAGGGGUCGGGACCCUGACCGGAGGCAGAGCGCUUAAGCUCAGGGGAGGGCUGAGACAGAGGAAUUUGGGACUCGGAUUAAGGUUAACUUGAAGGAUUAACUGGGGUCGUUACAUAUAUACUCAGAGGUGAUGAUCUUAAUACAUAUAUUAUAUAACUAAUGUUUUCUUCAUGUCAUCCAAUUUGUUAGCGACUCAUUGCCUCCUUCUAUGCUUUCUGUCUAUCGUGGAUAUGCUUGUUCCUAGUCUAGUUCUGGAUUAGACUAUCUAGCAUGCUUGGUGUAAUCACGGUGAUUAGAUCUAGUGUGUUGAUCCUUCAUGAUAUCUAGACAUAUUCACCUAUAUUCGUACCCUUAAAUUGUCUGCGUCGAUAGGGGGGAUCGUGAUGGGGUCUGCUUCCGUGUAGGGUGGGGGUUUUUGGGAGGUUGACCGGAGGUAGUAGUUUAAAGAUUGCUUUGGAUGAGAUGCAUGAUUUGCUUGCUUAUUAGCUAGAUCUGCAACUAGAAGAUGAUAGGUCCUUGUUACCCAUGGUUAUGCUAUCUCAUAUGAAUAUGUGGAUGUGAUCAAUCUAUGCUCUAUCAUUCAUAUCCAUUAUGUUUACCUUUAUAUGAAAUCGAUGCUUCAUGUUAGGAUUAGAUCCGUUGAGUUAGAUAAAAAACCCUAGUUAGUUAACUACUGAUCUAUGGAUUGAUAAACCUUGGAUGGAAUACUCUAAGAGAAAAGCUACAAUGAUUCGUGCGCUUGUAGUUUACAACUUGGCGUAUUAACU